rnacentral:lncRNA from 1 species
GGGGAGGGUGGGAACAAGAUGGAAGUUGGAAUACUUAAGCAUUAUUUUAAUUCAUCAUCCUGAAAAUGUGGUGUUUGGGCAAUUUUGAAAGUGUUCUAAUAGCUCUCUUUAUUCCUUUUCAUAGAAAUUAACAAGUAAUCAUGAAAGCUGCAUUGUAGGAGCCCUCAAUGAAGCCUACUUCCUUUACACCUGUGUUGGUUUGAUGGGGCAGCUUUAAGUUGGAAGCUCUAAAUAAAGCUGCCAUACUUAGCUAUUGUAUACCUCUUCACAUCUAGUAAGUUUCCGAAGCAUUCUCCUCCCCCUCCUCCUCUGUGUCCUCUCUUUCAUUCUCCCUGACUCUGUGUGUGUGUGUGUGUGUGUGUGUGUGAGUCUCACACCUAGCCAGAGUCAAAGGAUUCUUAGUAAGAAGCAAUCGAAAGCAAUCCUCUCUGCUAGUCUUACAUAAGAACCACACAGCAGCCGGUCUCCUGAGCCAUCCCUGUCACAUUCUCCUGUCUGCUGAAGACAGGAACAUCACCGAGAGUUGCUGGGAGAAGAAUGACUCACAGGUGAUACCCGCCACACACGUUAUCCUCAAGGUUCGAAAUAACCACCAAUAAAGGAGCCAGUCAAGAGAAUCCAAGGUAAACUAGAAAGCAAGUGGCCAGUAAAUCCAAAGACCAGAAGCUUCCCAGGUGGGGGAGGCUCAUGAUCCAGAGCCCCAAACAAUUACCUGACUUGCAAGCAAGCAACCAUUGAGACCCAGGAUGAAGUCAGGAAUGGACAUGCCACAACGACAAUCCAUAGGGAUGGACAUGCCAUGAUGAAACCCAUAGGAAUGGACAUGCCACAACAACACCCCAUAGGAAUGGACAUGCCAUGAUGAAACCCAUAGGGAUGGACAUGCCACGACGAAACCCCUUCACCUUUCUGAUCUCUAACUCAGAGCCACUCUGCUUCAGGUGAAGUCUCUGCCUUCACCUCUGGAUAAGGAUUCCACACUUGCAUCUUUAAGCUAGUUCGUGGGCAUCUCUAUGGAAGCCAUCCGCAGGCAUCUUACAGACACAAGAUCAG